rnacentral:rRNA from 1 species
GCUACACAUGCAAGUCGAGCGGAACGAGUUAUCUGAACCUUCGGGGAACGAUAACGGCGUCGAGCGGCGGACGGGUGAGUAAUGCCUAGGAAAUUGCCCUGAUGUGGGGGAUAACCAUUGGAAACGAUGGCUAAUACCGCAUGAUGCCUACGGGCCAAAGAGGGGGACCUUCGGGCCUCUCGCGUCAGGAUAUGCCUAGGUGGGAUUAGCUAGUUGGUGAGGUAAGGGCUCACCAAGGCGACGAUCCCUAGCUGGUCUGAGAGGAUGAUCAGCCACACUGGAACUGAGACACGGUCCAGACUCCUACAGGAGGCAGCA